rnacentral:rRNA from 1 species
CACGUAGGAGGCGAACGUUAUCCGGAUUUACUGGGCGUAAAGCGCGUGUAGGUGGUGUUGAAAGUCAAAUGUGAAAGACCACGGCUCAACUGUGGAAACGCACUUGAAACUUCAAUACUUGAGUUCAGGCGAGGAGAAUAGAAUUCCCGGUGUAGGGGUGAAAUCUGUAGAUAUCGGGAAGAAUACCAGUGGCGAAGGCGAUUCUCUAGUCUGACACUGACAUUGAGGCGCGAAAGCGUGGGGAGCAAACAGG